UAUUGGUCAAUGGGCGGGAGCCUGAACCAGCCAAGUCGCGUGAGGGAGUAAGGCCCUACGGGUCGUAAACCUCUUUUGCCGGGGAACAGGUCGGCGGACGUGUCCUCCGUUUGAGCGCACCCGGCGACACAGCAUCGGCUAACUCCGCGCCAGCAGCCGCGGUAAUACGGAGGAUGCGAGCGUUAUCCGGAUUUAUUGGGUUUAAAGGGUGCGUAGGCGGGCUUUUAAGUCAGCGGUAAAAAUUCGGGGCUCAACCCCGUCCGGCCGUUGAAACUGGGGGCCUUGAGUGGGCGAGAAGAAGGCGGAAUGCGUGGUGUAGCGGUGAAAUGCAUAGAUAUCACGCAGAACCCCGAUUGCGAAGGCAGCCUUCCGGCGCCCUACUGACGCUGAGGCACGAAAGUGCGGGGAUCGAACAGG
rnacentral:rRNA from 1 species